AGGACUUCUUAAGGUCAUUGAAAUUUCCUUAAAACACCCCUAAAGCAUGAUGUACAAGUCUUUUAAGCACCAGAAAUCUUCACUUUCCACUUAUACCCUUUCCCCUAAACUAAACACGCGGACACACAAACUAGCUAGGGUUUCAGAUUUCAAAACAUUUCAAAACGCCGCUUCCCUGAUCCUUUCUCUCUCUCUCUCUCUCUCUGGCGAUUCAGGAACGAUUUCAUCAGAUCUGCUUGGCGAUUCAGGAACGAUUUCACCAGAUCUAUGAAGUUUCAACAGAUCGAUGAAGAUUCUGACCUCCUGGUUCCGUUUUCCGGCUUUUAUUGGCGUUUUGCAACAUUCGUCAAGGGUCAUGGUUUGAAGACUAGAUCUGGUGAAGAAUAAUAAAAAUACUCGGAAGGAGACAACAAAAUUAUGGAGAAGAAUCAGAUCUCGGUGGUUGGAGUUCCAGAUGCGAUUCUCGUCAAGUAUAUGGAGCGUUACAACAACGUCAAGCUCUCAGCCUUGGGGAUGGCCAUACCAACUGUUGUUUUAAUAUCCGAGAUUCUGAAGGAACAUGGACUGGCAACUCAGAAAUUGAUAGCCGUAUCAACUGUUCAAACCAAUGAUAAAUUUACUAGCAGACACAUUUAGAAGGCCAAGGUAAUACCACUGUAUCUAUCCGAAAUGGCACCAACCCAUCUCAGAGGAGGUUUAAACAUGAUGUUUCAACUAGCACCCACUUUCGGAAUCUUCUCAGCAAACAUGAUCAACUACGGAACCAGUAA